rnacentral:rRNA from 1 species
UACGGGGGGGGCAAGCGUUGUUCGGAAUUACUGGGCUUAAAGGGUUUGUAGGCGGCCACGUAAGUCAGGUGUGAAAGCCCUCGGCUCAACCGAGGAACGGCGCUUGAUACUGCGUGGCUUGAGGGAGACAGGGGUAAGCGGAACUGAUGGUGGAGCGGUGAAAUGCGUUGAUAUCAUCAGGAACACCGGUGGCGAAAGCGGCUUACUGGGUCUCUUCUGACGCUGAGGAACGAAAGCUAGGGUAGCGAACGGG